AGUGCGAGCCGACAGGUUAUCCGAGUGAUUUCUGCUAAAGAAAUCUUUUGUUAGUCCUAGAAACACUAACGAAUAAGGGGUGGGCAAGUUCUGGUGUCAGCCGCCGCGGUAAAACCAGCACCUCAAGUGGUCAGGAUGAUUAUUGGGCCUAAAGCAUCCGUAGCCGGCUCUGUAAGUUUUCGGUUAAAUCUGUACGCUCAACGUACAGGCUGCCGGGAAUACUGCAGAGCUAGGGAGUGGGAGAGGUAGACGGUACUCGGGAGGAAGUGGUAAAAUGCUUUGAUCUAUCGAUGACCACCUGUGGCGAAGGCGGUCUACCAGAACACGUCCGACGGUGAGGGAUGAAAGCUGGGGGAGCAAACCGGAUUAGAUACCCGGGUAGUCCCAGCUGUAAACUAUGCAAACUCAGUGAUGCAUUGGCUUGUGGCCAAUGCAGUAUUGCAGGGAAGCCGUUAAGUUUGCCGCCUGGGAAGUACGUACGCAAGUAUGAAACUUAAAGGAAUUGGCGGGGGAGCAC
rnacentral:rRNA from 1 species